rnacentral:rRNA from 1 species
UACGAAGGGGGCUAGCGUUGCUCGGAAUCACUGGGCGUAAAGCGCACGUAGGCGGGCUGCUAAGUCAGGGGUGAAAUCCUGGAGCUCAACUCCAGAACUGCCUUUGAUACUGGCGGCCUUGAGUCCGGGAGAGGUGAGUGGAACUGCGAGUGUAGAGGUGAAAUUCGUAGAUAUUCGCAAGAACACCAGUGGCGAAGGCGGCUCACUGGCCCGGUACUGACGCUGAGGUGCGAAAGCGUGGGGAGCAAACAGG